rnacentral:rRNA from 1 species
UACAGAGGGUGCAAACGUUGUUCGGAUUUACUGGGCGUAAAGCGUGUGUAGGCGGUUUGGCAAGUCGGAUGUGAAAGCCCCGGGCUCAACUCGGGAAGUGCACUCGAUACUGCUAGACUGGAGUGUGGGAGAGGUUGGUGGAAUUCUCGGUGUAGAGGUGAAAUUCGUAGAUAUCGAGAGGAACACCGGCGGCGAAGGCGGCCAACUGGACAAACACUGACGCUGAGACACGAAAGCGUGGGGAGCAAACAGG